UUUACAAUAUACUUAGGGAUGAUGAAUGAAUUUGUUGUUUUUUUUUUUAACAGUGUUGAAUUGAGCUUUAUUUCUUUUUUUUAUUGCAUUUUAGGUUGUGGGGUACAUGUGGAGAACAUGCAAGAUAGUUGCAUAGGUACACACAUGGCAGUGUUUUGUACUGCCUUCCUCCCCUUUACACACAUUUGGCAUUUCUUCCCAGGCUAUCCCUCCCCAGCUCCCUGCCCCCCGCUGUCCCUCCCCUAUUCCCCCAAUAGACCCCAGUGUGUAGUACUCCCAUUCUUGUGUCCAUGUGUUCUCAUUUUUCAUCACCCGCCUAUGAGUGAGAAUAUGCGGUAUUUCAUUUUCUGUUCUUGUUUUUCAUCACCCACCUAUGAGUGAGAAUAUGCGGUGUUUCAUUUUCUGUUCUUGUGUCAGUUUGCUGAGGAUGAUGUUUUCCAGAUUCAUCCAUGUCCCUACAAACGACACGAACUCAUCAUUUCUGAUUGCUGCAUAAUAUCCCAUGGUGUAUAUGUGCCACAUUUUUCCAAUCCAGUCUAUUAUCAAUGGGCAUUUGGGUUGAUUCCAGGUCUUUGCUAUUGUAAACAGUGCUGCAAUGAACAUUCGUGUACAUGUGUCCUUAUAGUAGAACGAUUUAUAGUCUUUUGGAUAUAUACCCAGUAAUGGGAUUGCUGGGUCAAAUGGAAUUUCUAUUUCUAAGGCCUUGAGGAAUCGCCACACUGUCUUCCACAAUGGUUGAACUAAUUUACACUCCCACCAACAGUGUAAAAGUGUUCCUUUUUCUCCACAUCCUCUCCAGCAUCUGUUGUCUCCAGAUUUUUUAAUGAUCGCCAUUCUAACUGGCGUGAGAUGGUAUCUCAAUGUGGUUUUGAUUUGCAUCUCUCUGAUGACCAGUGAUGAUGAGCAUUUUUUCAUAUGAUUGUUGGCCUCAUAUAUGUCUUCUUUCGUAAAGUAUCUGUUCAUAUCCUUUGCCCACUUUUGAAUGGGCUUGUUUGUUUUUUUCCUGUAAAUCUGCUUGAGUUGUUUGUAAAUUCUGGAUAUCAGCCCUUUGUCAGAUGGGUAGACUGCGAAAAUUUUUUCCCAUUCUGUUGGUUGCCGAUCCACUCUAGUGACUGUUUCUUUUGCCGUGCAGAAGCUGUGGAGUUUCAUUAGGUCCCAUUUGUCUAUUUUGGCUUUUGUUGCCAAUGCUCUUGGUGUUUUGUUCAUGAAGUCCUUGCCUACUCCUAUGUCCUGGAUAGUUUUGCCUAGAUUUCCUUCUAGGGUUUUUAUGGUGCCAGGUCUUAUGUUUAAGUCUUUAAUCCAUCUGGAGUUAAUUUUAGUGUAAGGUGUCAGGAAGGGGUCCAGUUUCUGCUUUCUGCACAUGGCUAGCCAGUUUUCCCAACACCAUUUGUUAAACAUGGAAUCCUUGCCCCAUUGCUUGUUUUUGUCAGGUUUAUCAAAGAUUGUAUAGUUGUAUGUAUGUUGUGUUGCCUCCGGUGCCUCUGUUUUGUUCCAUUGGUCUAUAUCUCUGUUUUGGUACCAGUACCAUGCUGUUUUGAUUACUGUAGCCUUGUAGUAUAGUUUGAAAUCCGGUAGUGUGAUGCCCCCCGCUGUGUUCUUUUUGCUUAGAAUUGACUUGGCUAUGCGGGCUCUCUUUUGGUUCCAUAUGAAGUUCAUGGUGGUUUUUUCCAGUUCUGUGAAGAAAGUCAAUGGUAGCUUGAUGGGGAUAGCGUUGAUUCAGUAAAUUACUUUGGGCAGUAUAGCCAUUUUCACGAUAUUAAUUCUUCCUAACCAUGAACAUGGAAUGUUUCUCCAUCUGUUUGUGUCCUCUCUGAUUUCGUUGAGCAGUGGUUUGUAGUUCUCCUUGAAGAAGUCCCUUACGUUCCUUGUGAGUUGUAUUCCAAGGUAUUUUAUUCUUUUUGUAGCAAUUGCGAAUGGCAGUUCGCUCUUGAUUUGGCUUUCUUUAAGUCUGUUAUUGGUGUAGACGAAUGCUUGUGAUUUUUGCACAUUGAUUUUAUAUCCUGAGACUUUGCUGAAGUUGUUUAUCAGUUUCAGGAGUUUUUGGGCUGAGGUGAUGGGGUCUUCUAGGUAUACUAUCAUGUCGUCUGCAAAUAGAGACAAUUUGGCUUCCACCUUUCCUAUUUGAAUACCCUUUAUUUCUUUUUCUUGCCUGAUUGCUCUGGCUAGAACUUCCAGUACUAUAUUGAAUAGGAGUGGUGAGAGAGGGCAUCCUUGUCUAGUACCAGAUUUCAAAGGGAAUGCUUCCAGUUUUUGCCCAUUCAGUAUGAUAUUGGCUGUUGGUUUUUAUUACUUUGAGAUACAUUCCAUCGAUACCGAGUUUAUUGAGGGUUUUUAGCAUAAAGGGCUGUUGAAUUUUGUCAAAUGCCUUCUCUGCGUCAAUUGAGAUAAUCAUGUGGUUUUUGUUUUUGGUUCUGUUUAUGUGGUGAAUUACGUUGAUAGACUUGCGUAUGUUGAACCAGCCUUGCAUCCCUGGGAUGAAUCCUACUUGAUCAUGAUGAAUAAGUUUUUUGAUUUGCUGUUGCAAUCGGCUUGCCAAUAUUUUAUUGAAGAUUUUUGCAUCUAUGUUCAUCAUGGAUAUUGGCCUGAAGUUUUCUUUUCUCGUUGGGUCUCUGCCGGGUUUUGGUAUCAGGAUGAUGUUGGUCUCAUAAAAUGAUUUGGGAAGGAUUCCCUCUUUUUGGAUUGUUUGAAAUAGUUUUAGAAGGAAUGGUACCAGCUCCUCCUUGUGUGUCUGGUAGAAUUCGGCUGUGAACCCGUCUGGACCUGGGCUUUUUUUGUGAGGUAGGCUCUUAAUUGCUGCCUCAACUUCAGACCUUGUUAUUAGUCUAUUCAUAGUUUCAGCUUCCUCCUAGUUUAGGCU
ensembl:lncRNA